UUCAAGUUGUCUAAAUAAUCAUCAGCUCUAGUUUGGCAUCAUUAGCAAUUUGUCUGUGAACUUUGGACCUUAACUGAGGAAUAUAAGAGUGAAAGACGUUUGGAGUUGAAUUAUUGGAUUGCCAUUGUUUGACCUACCUGCCAUCCAUGAACCUCUCCUAUUAAGAUCUUCAGAAUGGAAAUUUAACUUCAUCAUCAUCCUGCAAUGUUUCAUUCUUGACAGUGUCACGUAUGGACAAAUGUAAGUCUCCACUUGAGUUUCUGUGAUACAGGAUCCUCUUAGCCAGCAGUGACAAAGAUGUAAGUGAAAGUAGUGGAACCUACAAAUUCAUCACUGUGCAUCAGGUGCUGACUGAAAAAAAAUUCACAACCUAAAAGUUGGGAAUUAUGUUUUAUUCAGCAGACUUACUGAGGACCUUAAGUCCAGGAUAUAGCCUCUCAGAUAGCUCUGAGGGACUGUUCUAAAGAGACUAUAUUUACCAUAAAAUAUAACUGAAAAAUGCCUUCAAACUGAUGCUAGAUUUUACAGAUUGCUAAUUGUUACGAUGCAAUGUGCUUAAAUUGUGAGAGGAAGCUCCUGGUCGUCAACAUCUGGACUCUGAAUCUUCCUGCCACCUAAAAAUUUUUAAGUAAGCUGGAGAUGCAACUGCUAUAAAUAUCAGUAUAAAGAAUUUUUAUGGACACAUACUUUGAAGUAUCUGGUUAAGCACUUAGUAUUGAAAUUGCUGGAACAUGUGAUGGAUUAUGGGAAGAAACAUGAAUAAUUGAAGAAGCAGGCCACAAGGAAAGCAUACAGAAGAAGAUCAAGACAAAAUCCCAAAGUUUGUAAUGGUUUUCUGAAGCCUGCACCCACUCCCUCCAUCACUUCUGUUCAUUACUUGGAAAGCAGCCAAGAUGAUCCUUUUGGGGAGGACAGUUACAUUCAGUGACCAUACUGCCUUAUUAAGGUGGUGGAGGUGAGAAUAAACUACCUUUAAGGAGGUAGUUGCCAUUAUUUUGCAUAAGACCGAAAUGAAGCCACAGAGAAGAGCAAAGACACAGGAUGGAAGGAAAACCAAGUCCCUGAAGCUUCAUUUGUACGAGAGCUGUCAAGAAUACCACCCAACCAUAAAUGCUCUUAUUGUUGGGCAAUGUGAUAGAAAAAUAAAAAUU